rfam:Triticum aestivum genome assembly, contig: Triticum_aestivum_CS42_TGACv1_scaffold_062017_1DL
CCGCUCGACGACGACGAGCUCAUCUCCUACAUCCUCGCCGGCUUGGACAUGGAGUACCAGCCCCUCGUCUCCGCCCUCGACGCCCGCACCAUGCCUGCCACCCUCGACGAACUGUAUGCUCAGAUGAGUAACUUCGAUC